rnacentral:tRNA from 1 species
UCCCUGGAGGACUAGUGGUUAGGCCACGGUGCUCUCACUGCUGUGGCCUGGGUUUGAUUCCCAAGGAAUGGAG